rnacentral:rRNA from 1 species
GAUGAACGCUGGCGGCGUGCUUAAUACAUGCAAGUCGAGCGAACAGACGAGGAGUUUGCUCCUCUGACGUUAGCGGCGGACGGGUGAGUAACACGUGGAUAACCUACUUAUAAGACUGGGAUAAUUUCGGGAAACCGGAGCUAAUACCGGAUAAUAUAUUGAACCGCAUGGUUCAAUAGUGAAAGACGGUUUUGCGGUCACUAAUAGCUGGAUCCCCGCCGCUUUAGCUAGUUGGUAAGGUAACGGCUUACCAAGGCAAGGAUGCGUAGCCGACCUGAGAGGGUGAUCGGCCGCACGGGAGCGGAGACACGGUCCAGACUCCUACGGGAGGCAGCAGUAGGGAAUCUUCCGCAAUGGGCGAAAGCCUGACGGAGCAACGCCGCGUGAGUGAUGAAGGUCUUCGGAUCGUAAAACUCUGUUAUUAGGGAAGAACAAAUGUGUAAGUAACUAUGCACGUCUUGACGGUACCUAAUCAGAAAGCCACGGCUAACUACGUG